GAAAAGUAAAAUAGUAGUUUACUGUAAAACUUACUAUUGUAACUGGGAAUGGCACCUGUAGACUGUCCGACUGAUGAUCUGUAACUCGAAUCUAAGUAACUUUCUUCUUCCCAAGGUCUCUAAUGGUCCAAAUUACGGGAUAGCGCUGUAUAGAAUUAAAUACAACAAUUUAGUAUUACUCCAGUAAUAAGUAUCAUUUCUGUGCAAGAUAUUGGGAACAAUACACUCAAAAACGUGUUUUUG